rnacentral:rRNA from 1 species
GAUGAACGCUGGCGGCGUGCCUAAUACAUGCAAGUCGAGCGAACGGACGAGAAGCUUGCUUCUCUGAUGUUAGCGGCGGACGGGUGAGUAACACGUGGAUAACCUACCUAUAAGACUGGGAUAACUUCGGGAAACCGGAGCUAAUACCGGAUAAUAUUUUGAACCGCAUGGUUCAAAAGUGAAAGACGGUCUUGCUGUCACUUAUAGAUGGAUCCGCGCUGCAUUAGCUAGUUGGUAAGGUAACGGCUUACCAAGGCAACGAUGCAUAGCCGACCUGAGAGGGUGAUCGGCCACACUGGAACUGGGACACGGUCCAGACUCCUACGGGAGGCAGCAGUAGGGAAUCUUCCGCAAUGGGCGAAAGCCUGACGGAGCAACGCCGCGUGAGUGAUGAAGGUCUCCGGAUCGUAAAAGUCUGUUAUUAGGGAACACCAUAUGUGUAAGUAACUGUGCACAUCUUGACGGUACCUAAUCAGAAAGCCACGGCUAACUACGUG